GACGAACGCUGGCGGCGUGCUUAACACAUGCAAGUCGAACGGAAAGGCCCUGCUUUUGUGGGGUGCUCGAGUGGCGAACGGGUGAGUAACACGUGAGUAACCUGCCCUUGACUUUGGGAUAACUUCAGGAAACUGGGGCUAAUACCGGAUAGGAGCUCCUGCUGCAUGGUGGGGGUUGGAAAGUUUCGGCGGUUGGGGAUGGACUCGCGGCUUAUCCGCUUGUUGGUGGGGUAGUGGCUUACCAAGGCUUUGACGGGUAGCCGGCCUGAGAGGGUGACCGGCGACAUUGGUACUGAGGGACGGCGCAGACUCCUACGGGAGGCAGCAGGGGGGAGUAUUGCACAGUGGGCGGAAGCCUGAGACAGCAACGCCGCGUGCGGGAUGACGUCUUACUGGUUGUAAACCACUUUCUCCUGUGACGAGGCGGGAGUGACGGUAAUGGGUAAAGAAGCACCGGCUAACUACGUG
rnacentral:rRNA from 1 species